GAUGAACGCUGGCGGCGUGCCUAAUACAUGCAAGUCGAGCGAAGCGGGGACGGGUGAGUAACACGUGGAUAACCUCCUAUAAGACUGGGAUAACUUCGGGAAACCGGAGCUAAAACGGCUACUUAGAGAUGGAUGCGGGUGGGAUUAGCUAGGUGGUAAGGUAACGGCUGACCAAGGCAACGAUGCAUAGCCGGCCUGAGAGGGUGAUCGGCCACACUGGAACUGAGACACGGUCCAGACUCCUACGGGAGGCAGCAGUAGGGAAUCUUGCACAAUGGGCGAAAGCCUGACGGAGCAACGCCGCGUGAGUGAUGAAGGUCUUCGGAUCGUAAAACUCUGUUAUCAGGGAAGCGGUACCUAAUCAGAAAGCCACGGCUAACUCCGUGCCAGCAGCCGCGGUAAUAC
rnacentral:rRNA from 1 species